rnacentral:lncRNA from 1 species
GGGUCCACUAGUAAAGAGUUUGAUACUACUCCAUCUCCAUAUGUUAGAACUGUGGGUGAAGCUGACUCAAGAGAGCAGAUGAAAAAGUGAAAAACUGGCUACCAAAAUUGGACCCCACUACGGAAUCAACGUUUUUAUCCUUUUAAAUGCAAAUCCAAAUUUUCACUCGUUUCCUAUAAAUUAAUAUCUGAUUAUACCACCUUCAAAACCAUCUUCUAUCUCCUCCCUCUCAAGCAUUGUGCAGUUGUGGGGGUUGUAUUCCGCACUGAUUAAGGUUUGUUUUCCUGAUCUUGUCUUGAGAUGGGUUUUUCUUCUUUUCCUCACUGCUUAAAAAUUUUGAAAUUUGUCUGUCUAUGUUUUGUUUUUCUGUUUUGUUGGAUGUUGUCACUGAGGGAAACUUUAUCUGUUGUACAUUUAGUCAGACUGAUGUUUGUUUGUUCUUUUCUACAGGUGGUUCUUUGAGUUUGGCCUGUUUUUCCUGUGAGACAUUCUUGUGAAAUGGUACUUGUUCUUGAAUAUUUUUGCUCCUUUGUUUGUUAAACCUUUAGCAUGUUGUAGAAAUUCAAUCUUUGCUGUAAAAAUCCAAUCUUGAUUGCUAUUACAAAACUGAAAUUUUGGGGCAACUCAACGAUUCUUAGAUAACCGUUGACCUUAAAUAUUGCCAAUCUUGUGUUGUUUAUAGGACUGACUGCCCUUGAACUGUUGAUUUUGUGUUAUAUCAACACAAAAGAUCAAGAUGAGUGAAACUAAGCCAGAAACACCAGUAAAUCCACCUUCUAUUUCAAGAAAGCUU